rnacentral:tRNA from 6 species
GGCGACGUCGCCAAGUGGCAAGGCAGAGGCCUGCAAAGCCUUUAUCCCCGGUUCGAAUCCGGGCGUCGCCUCCA